CCUCAAGGUACCCGCCUCCGGCCGUCUCGGUAGCUGUGGAUGAGGUCUCAAAAUUAUUCUGAUGCAAUGGAUCUUGCUUGUGAUUUUUGUGCAGUAUUUUAACCCUAUUUCCAAUUCUAAUUUAUAUGCUCCUGCGUGCAGAUCUAAUCAUUGUUUGCCAACCAAAUCUUUUGUUUAGCUCUAGUUUUUUUUCUGUAUGUUCCUGAGCUUCCCAAUAGAUUGAUUUGUUGAUUGGAUGGCGCUGCUGUGAUGCCUGGAGAGGCCUGCAGCCAGCGCGAUUGUGCGAAGCCGCCGAUGAGACUGAUACAUGCAGAACUGCUACUCUGCUAGCGUGGAUGAGCCUCAGGCAUCAGAGAUGAGCUCCUUCCCGAGUUGUGGAGUAUGUGGUUUUCUAUUUUUAUCGAGAGUUUAGACUGCUUGUCCAGGAGAAGUAAUUGUUUCAAUUUAUUGCAAAACCUGAUGAUUUUUAGGUGCUCCUUGUUGGAUCAUAUUAGUUCUUGUUCCAACCCUUGAUUUUGUAAGCAAAAUAUCUUAUUUUUAUUUCAUCUUGAAACUGACAGGACAGAAACUUGGACCUGGUUUAGUUAUGCCAUCUCGAAUGUGACAGGAGGCUGAGGAACUCGCGGUCAUUGCAUCCAGGUGGAGCAUAGAGUUAGAUAGCUGCCAUCAUGGUUGCGUCUCAGCUGGACUUCUUCAUUGACAGGAAAUCGUCAUGCAAAUUCUUAUUGUCCAUUCAGUUUUAUGAAACCAAGCCUAAUCUGCUAGUGAUGUUGCCUUUUUUUUAACUCUUGUAAUAAUACUGUACAAGUGAUUUACACAACACACGGCUCUUGUGCCAUUAUUGGUGACCAAAAUGCUAAUUCGAUGCUUGGCUGCAAGUAA